GGUGAACCAGGACGGCCAGGAGCAUUUGGACUGCCUGGGCCAGCAGGUCCAAAGGGAUCCGAGGGAAAACAGGGUCCUCCAGGCAUUAAAGGCUACGUAGGUGCACCGGGUCUACAAGGAGAAAGAGGAGAAAAG